AACGAACGCUGGCGGCAGGCCUAAUACAUGCAAGUCGAACGGAUGUAGCAAUACAUUAGUGGCGCACGGGUGCCUAACGCGUGGGAACAUACCCUUGAGUAAGGAAUAAUGUCUGGAAACGGACACUAAUACCUUAUAAUGACUUCGGUCCAAAGAUUUAUCGCUCAAGGAUUGGCCCGCGUCUGAUUAGCUAGUUGGUGAGGUAACGGCUCACCAAGGCGACGAUCAGUAGCUGGUCCGAGAGGAUGAUCAGCCACACUGGGACUGAGACGCGGCCCAGACUCCUACGGGAGGCAGCAGUAAGGAAUAUUGGACAAUGGGGGAAACCCUGAUCCAGCCAUGCCGCGUGAGUGAAGAAGGCCUUAGGGUUGUAAAGCUCUUUCAAUGGUGAAGAUAAUGACGGUAGCCAUAGAAGAAGCCCCGGCUAAAUUCGUGCCAGCCGCCGCGGUAAUAC
rnacentral:rRNA from 1 species